rnacentral:rRNA from 1 species
GGAUGAAUCUUGGACAAUGGGCGCAAGCCUGAUCCAGCCAUGCCGCGUGAGUGAUGAAGGCCUUCGGGUUGUAAAGCUCUUUCAGAUGUGAAGAUAAUGACGGUAGCAUCAGAAGAAGCUCCGGCUAACUCCGUGCCAGCAGCCGCGGUAAUACGGAGGGAGCGAGCGUUGUUCGGAAUUACUGGGCGUAAAGCGUAUGUAGGCGGUUUUGUAAGUCAGAUGUGAAAUCCCAGAGCUUAACUUUGGAACU